GACGAACGCUGGCGGCGUGCUUAACACAUGCAAGUCGAACGGUGACGAUCAAGCUUGCUUGGUCUGAUCAGUGGCGAACGGGUGAGUAACACGUGAGUAACCUGCCCCUGACUCUGGGAUAACCCCGGGAAACCGGAGCUAAUACCGGAUACAACACGCCCCUGCAUGGGGAGCGUGUGGAAAGUUUUUCGGUCUGGGAUGGACUCGCGGCCUAUCAGCUUGUUGGUGAGGUAAUGGCUCACCAAGGCGACGACGGGUAGCCGGCCUGAGAGGGCGACCGGCCACACUGGGACUGAGACACGGCCCAGACUCCUACGGGAGGCAGCAGUGGGGAAUAUUGCUCAAUGGGCGAAAGCCUGAUGCAGCGACGCCGCGUGAGGGGUGACGGCCUUCGGGUUGUAAACCUCUUUCAGCAGGGAAGAAGCGCAAGUGACGGUACCUGCAGAAGAAGCACCGGCUAACUACGUGCCAGCCGCCGCCGUAACAC
rnacentral:rRNA from 1 species